rnacentral:rRNA from 1 species
UACCCGCGACAGGACGGAAAGACCCCGUGGAGCUUUACUGUAGCCUGAUAUUGAAUUUUGGUACAGUUUGUACAGGAUAGGCGGGAGCCUUUGAAACCGGAGCGCUAGCUUCGGUGGAGGCGCUGGUGGGAUACCGCCCUGACUGUAUUGAAAUUCUAACCUACGGGUCUUAUCGACCCGGGAGACAGUGUCAGGUGGGCAGGUUGACUGGGGCGGUCGCCUCCUAAAGUGUAACGGAGGCGCCCAAAGGUUCCCUCAGAAUGGUUGGAAAUCAUUCGUAGAGUGCAAAGGCAUAAGGGAGCUUGACUGCGAGACCUACAAGUCGAGCAGGGACGAAAGUCGGGCUUAGUGAUCCGGUGGUUCCGCAUGGAAGGGCCAUCGCUCAACGGAUAAAAGCUACCCCGGGGAUAACAGGCUUAUCUCCCCCAAGAGUCCACAUCGACGGGGAGGUUUGGCACCUCGAUGUCGGCUCAUCGCAUCCUGGGGCUGUAGUCGGUCCCAAGGGUUGGGCUGUUCGCCCAUUAAAGCGGUACGCGAGCUGGGUUCAGAACGUCGUGAGACAGUUCGGUCCCUAUCCGUCGUGGGCGUAGGAAAUUUGAGAGGAGCUGUCCUUAGUACGAGAGGACCGGGAUGGACGCACCGCUGGUGUACCAGUUGUUCUGCCAAGGGCAUAGCUGGGUAGCUAUGUGCGGAAGGGAUAAGUGCUGAAAGCAUCUAAGCAUGAAGCCCCCCUCAAGAUGAGAUUUCCCAUAGCGUAAGCUAGUAAGAUCCCUGAAAGAUGAUCAGGUUGAUAGGUUCGAGGUGGAAGCAUGGUGACAUGUGGAGCUGACGAAUACUAAUAGAUCGAGGACUUA